UGACAAAAACUGACAAGUAUGUCAAGAUGAUUGUCACGUUAUUCCUUGUUCCCAUUUAUGAUGGAGAUAUCCGCGUUUUGCCGUUUCCUCAUCGAUUUCUGGGACGAACUGCUCGAAAUGGAAGCCGAAGAGUUGGAUGAGGAGGACGAUUUUCUGGACGAUGAAGACGACAUAAAUGGAUAAUCAACCGAUACUGUUCAUAUUUCGACAAUAAAAUAAUGUGAAAAAUA